rnacentral:rRNA from 1 species
UACAGAAACUGCAAGCGUUAUUCGGAUUCACUGGGCGUAAAGGGUGCGCAGGCGGCCAAGUGUGUGAGGCGUGAAAGCCCGGGGCUUAACUCCGGAAUUGCACCUCAAACUACAUGGCUAGAGCAUUGGAGAGGGUAGCAGAAUUCACGGUGUAGCAGUGAAAUGCGUAGAUAUCGUGAGGAAUACCAGAGGCGAAGGCGGCUACCUGGACAAUUGCUGACGCUCAGGCACGAAAGCGUGGGGAGCAAAAGGG